rnacentral:tRNA from 1 species
GGAGAGAUGGCUCAGAGGUUAAGAGCUCUGACUGCUCUGUCUGAGGGCCUGGGUUCGAUUCCCAGAAUCUACA